CACUCACGGGCAAUGAAAAGGUUCCACUGAGAAAAACAACAAAUUACUCCUAAACGGAAAAAGCUAGCUUAAUGACGCCUUCUGCAACAUUGAAGUACAUUUAACAGAGCAUCAUGAUAUUAUCAACUAAUAACGGCAAUUUUGUUAAAUUUUAAAUAAAAUGUUUGAAAAAAUUGCGAUCGUUUGGAUUCGGCAUUUUGUGAGUGGAACUUUUUCAUUGCCCGGGAGUGUAAUUUAAAAAGUAUCUCCAAGUUUUAACUGUACUCUGGAAAUCUCUCAGUAGCUUCCUUCUGAGAGAAGACUAACAGGCUUAAAAUAUUUCAUGUAAAAUAAUAAUUACAUGGGUAUUCAAGAAUCCCAUGUUUGAGGCUUAAAAGCGUAGAGUACUUGUUAUGCAUCCAUUUUUGCCUUACAACUUGCCCUAGAAAGUAAAUUCCGUUACAGAGACAACGCAAAUGUUUUUGUGGUUUUUCCCCUAUUAUGUAACUUGAUCAAUUUUGUACGGUCAAAAAAUACUGCACAUAUCUACAUCCUACAUUGAAAGCAUCGAUAAGAUUAGUUAUCUUACAUAGGUUUUCUACUCGUAUCAUAUGAGAUUAUUUUCAUUGAAUACCAAAGCAUUGUAGGUAUGCAUUGUAGAUUAUUUCAGUGAAUUUUAUUGGUGUCUGAGUAAUAUAAAUCAUUUAGGGACUUUAAAAUCUGAGUAAUAUUUUAUUACGAAUUCUGACGAUAAUUUUAUGGAAUGAUUCGUCAUUUAGAACCAAUCAUAGCAUUGCUCACCUAUUGUUAUAUUUAAAGAAAAUAGGAGCCAAUUUAUACACAUUAAAUCGAAGUAGGUAUUGCAUACUACUAUUUGUACAAUUAUUGAAAUUUUCAUUUGUACAUAUCUCAUUGCUAUUAACGGUGUAGGUAAAGGAUCAGGAAUGAUUUUAAAAAGAACUUAUAAUGUAUGUAUCUGUCUGCGUAGCGUACCACAGCCACACCCGGCUGAACCGGGAGCCAAUUUUCAUAUCAACUUAGCCGUUCAACAGUUAUGCGACUUUUAGUGUUGAAAUUUCGGGGAUUUUGAAAUACUAUACCUCCAACAUUCAGAGAAACCAGGAGCUUGGCGGCUUUGUUCGCAUCUGGAGCCAGCUUGGCGCUGCCCUCGAUGUAGACCUGGACGCCGUCCACCACGUGCGUGUUCUUGACCUUGACAGCCUCCCCAUCGAGGUUGUAUUCUGCGGCGGCACACUUGCCGUUCUUCUCGUCAGGGGUCGCGAACUUGGAGAUCUCGUACCAGGUGCCGACGUACUGGGAGAGAGAGGGUUGUGGGUUUAUGUCAGUGUAAAGACUUUCGUGAUUCGUGAUACAAUGCUCUAGGGCCUUAGUGAAGUCAAAACGAAAUAACAUUUACGAAGUAAUUAGCGAAAAUCGUUGUGAAAACAAGUUUGCGAUAGGUACAUAGGGAAAACUGUUUUAUUUUCAUACUGAAGAUACAUAGUUGAUGAUACGCAACGUAAACGGAGGUUUCGAACCUUACAAUCGCUGCAUACUGUUGUUAUUUAACCAUUGUAAUACUUAACUAUAAAAAUAUGUAAAAAAAAAUGUGAACUAUAUGUACGAUAUUUUUUAACCAUUAUAAUAACUGUACAAUUUAAAAAAAACACUUGUUAUUACCAAAUACUACACAUACAUACCUACAAAGAAUAGAAUGCUCUAGAAUAGUUCGAUUUGAAUGGGAUGCGGAACCAUUGUACGUUAAUGAUCGGCAACCUUCACGGUUGAACGCUGAAUAUCUAUGGAUAUAAUUGAGAUAUAAUCCGAUUUAACCAACCGAUGAUCGGAAAUUCAGUGUCGUUAAUAUCUUAUUUAUACUUAAAUACUAUCAGUUGAAUUUUUGCCCUGGGUGGGAUUGGAAUACGCGGUCCAAGCUUCAGAACCAGGUUCAUUACACGAUUUACUAAGAUUUAAAAAAACUGUAGUAGAACUUACAAUGGGUAGGUAAAAGUAGGACUUUGGACUUACAUGGCAUAGUUCGGAACUUAUCGUGGAUUUGUUAAGCGAUCAUGCUAUAAUCUUAAGCUUUGAUAAAACAAAGGUAAAUAAUGUCCCCAUUUUGUUGACUAUCAAACUGAGAUUUUAAGUUCAACCUUGUAACAACCAUGAAUUCGUUCACAAAUUAAUCUUCUAAACGAACUAAUUCAAAAUAAGAGCUCACUUGCCAAGCGAGGUGUUAUUAAAUUUGUCGACAUGUUUUUUUUUACACCGACACAGACCUCUUGUUCGUUUAUUA